rnacentral:rRNA from 1 species
UACGUAGGAUGCAAGCGUUGUCCGGAAUUAUUGGGCGUAAAGCGAACGUAGGCGGUUUCUUAAGUUUGUGCUUAAAGACCAGGGCUCAACCCUGGGAGUGGCAUGAAUACUGGGAGACUGGAGGAUGUCAGAGGAAAGUGGAAUUCCUAGUGUAGCGGUGAAAUGCGUAGAUAUUAGGAAGGAACACCAGUGGCGGAAAGCGACUUUCUGGGACAUUCCUGACGCUGAGGGCACGAA